UACGGAGGGUGCAAGCGUUAUCCGGAUUCACUGGGUUUAAAGGGUGCGUAGGCGGGUUGGUAAGUCCGUGGUGAAAUCCCCAAGCUUAACUUGGGAACUGCCGUGGAUACUAUCAAUCUUGAACAUCGUGGAGGUAAGCGGAAUAUGUCAUGUAGCGGUGAAAUGCUUAGAUAUGACAUAGAACACCAAUUGCGUAGGCAGCUUACUACACGAUCAUUGACGCUGAGGCACGAAAGCGUGGGGAGCAAACAGG
rnacentral:rRNA from 1 species